GGGCCCGCACAAGCGGUGGAGUAUGUGGUUUAAUUCGAUGCAACGCGAAGAACCUUACCAGGGUUUGACAUCCUGCGAAUCUCUUGGAAACGAGAGAGUGCCUUCGGGAACGCAGUGACAGGUGGUGCAUGGCUGUCGUCAGCUCGUGUCGUGAGAUGUUGGGUUAAGUCCCGUAACGAGCGCAACCCCUAUCCUUAUUUGCCAGCACAUCAUGGUGGGAACUAUAAGGAGACUGCCGGUGAUAAACCGGAGGAAGGCGGGGACGACGUCAAGUCAUCAUGGCCCUUACGACCAGGGCUACACACGUGCUACAAUGGGAAGGACAAAGAGCCGCGAAGCCGCGAGGGGAG
rnacentral:rRNA from 1 species